rnacentral:lncRNA from 1 species
GGGUCAAGUAACCCUUUCAGAAGCUGAAUAAUGUGGGAAAGCUUUCCUCUCAGGAAAAUGCACACAUCCAACUUUGAGAAGAUGCCCUUGGGGGCGCUUCAAGGAUUCUAGAUAAUAACCCCCUUUCCCGAACAUCCAAGAACCUAAGAUUUUUUUUUUUUUUUUGAGAAAGUCUCGCUCUCUCUCCCAGUCUGGAGUGCAGUGGCGUGAUCUUGGCUCACUGCCAGCUCCACCUCCCAGGUUCACGCCAUUCUCCUGCUUCAGCCUCCCUAGUAGCUGGGGCUACAGGCACCUGCCACCAAACCCGGCUAAUUUUUUUGUAUUUUUAGUAGAGACGGGGUUUCACCGUGUUAGCCAGGAUCGUCUUGAUCUCCUGACCUUGUGAUCCACCCGCCUCGGCCUCCCAAAUUGCUGGGAUUACAGAUGUGAGCCACCGCACCUGGUCCAAGAGCCCAAGUUUUAGAUCUAGAGUGAUGUCAGCAUGACAUUGAUUUCCUGAGGCCCAGGGGCGAAGGAGCUGAGGACAGCAGAGGGGUGAAGGAACUCAGCUACAGACAGCAGCAGCUGAUGCACAGGCCUCCCAGCGCCUGAAGUCACCCGGAAUUGGGAAGUGCUCAGAAGCUUACAAAGCUGCCUCGAGGAACAGUAAGAGGACCUUGUGCAUGAAUAAUUUGUUUCCACACUGCAGAAAGAAUCCCAGACUUCUUAGAGAACCCAGUGACUUUUUGCACCUUAAAUCUGUGAAAUCCUCAUGCUUUCUUCUGCCGUAUCCAUCGUUCAAACAAACAUGAGGCAAAGCUAGACACAUUCCUGAAGGAACCCAAGAAAUUCCUCUCUUUCUCUCUCUGGAAUGAAAUGAAUUCUCUAGACCACCAGUUCUAACCUUCAAAAACGAAACCUGUUUGUGAGAUCUCCUUCAAAUACUACUGUAGACCCCAGUGUUUAUUCAUUAAAUUUUUUAAACAUUUGUUUUAUUUGG